GAGUUGAGCUUCUUCUUCUAGCGUUUGCCCUAGAGCUGAGCUGUAUUCUGGUAAAAAAUAAAUAAAUAAAUAAAUAAAUAAAACACUUUUGUUACUUAUUUUCAUCAAAUUCACAACCAAAUUGGAAUUAGUCUGAGUAUGAUUUAUAACCAGGGUUAAGUUAUAAACACAUGCAAGUUUUGGUAAUGUACACUUUCAGAUUAAGUAGCUUUCAUUUAGUUGAUGACUUAACAAAAUAGGAUACAUAAUUGUAAUUUUUGUUAUGUAAUAUGAAGUUUAUCUGCAAGAUACUUAUAUAACUUCUUAGCUUAAAGUUAUACAUAGUUAAGAAUGUUUUGUCAUUAAUUAUGUAUAUCUGUUGGCUGUUUAAUAUGCUAAAUAGUUAAGGGAAUGUAUUGAAAUGGUCAGAUGAUAUGAUUAUUUCCUCUAGAACCAACAGCAAAAAUCUACCUAUAGACUUUUGAAAAUUUAACCUUCCCUCAGAGAAAAGUUUUAUAAGUACCCUGUAUCUGAUGUUCUCUAGUUUAAAGAUGGAAUGAUAACAUUCUAAUGAAGCUGGUAUAAUCAAGAGUACAGGUAAAUUCAUUUGGUACUUACAGUAGAGGCAUAAUUUCAAGUGUACUUCUACAAAUAGUGAGUGGCAUGUGACAAAAUUAUUUUGUUAAUUUGUAAAAUCUAUCAUUUUGUAACCAUUUUUUAUUAAAACUGUUAGGUGGUGAUGAUACUUUUGGUUGAAGAAUAAGAACUAAGUUGCAUUGUAGGUGUUUACUGUAGUUCUAGUUUUUAAAAAAAAAAUUAUUAUCUUUAUUUAUUUAUUGGAUAGAGACAGCCAGAAAUUGAGAGGGAAGGGGGUGAUAGAGAAGGAAAGAGAGACUUGCAGCCCUGCUUUACUGCUCACAAAGCUUUCCCCCUGCAGCUGGGGACUGGGGACUUGAACCUGGGUCCCUGUGCAUUGUAACUUGUGCACUCAACUAGGUGUGCCACCACCUGUCUAGUUUUUAUGAAGUAGAAAUUUGUGGCUCUGGAAUUACAGAGAACUGGAUUUGCAAGCAGACUUCUGUUUUGUCAAAAGAUUACAAUAGGUAGAUACGUGGCCUUAGGCAGUUCUUUGAAUGUCUGUGGGCCUCUUUCUUUAUAAAUUAAAGUGCUAGUGUAAAUACAUAAUCCUUGCAGGAAUCCUGUGCUUGAAAUAUUUCUACUAUUCAACCUGAAUAACUUACUGUCAUAAAGAAAUUACCCUCAGGUAGCUUAGAAGAGAAAGGAGCUAUAGGUGGCUUAAAUUACUGUGGUACUAAAACUUGGGAACAUAAUUUCCAGCACAUGGUCAUAACUAUACAUUUGUGAGAAGUUGUAGGGGCUAUUUUAUUUCCAUUAGUAAAAUCUCAAACUUUUAUGUUUGAUUUCAUCAGAAUGUCUGCACUCUGCGUAGAAGUGCUUUCAUUUAAUAGUUUUCACUGUCAUUGGUGCUUUUGGUAUGUGGGGGAAAUAAUUGUAGCACUAGGUGUAUAGUACAUUUAUAUAUUGCUUCACACUAAGGGAGCUAGGUUCCACCACCUAUGAAGUUUUAUUGCCCUUAGUGUUCUUGUAACAUCAGUGCAAACUAGUACACAUGGCUUUGUUGAUCUGAUAGUAAAGAUGGAGAUGAUGGACUACUUAUUACCCUGUAUCUGUUUUGUUUAUUAAGUAGGUUACUUGUGAUGUUAGAUAUUAGAGAACUUGGAACCUAGUUUCCAUUGCUGGUUCUGGUUAAAAAAUACCUUUUUCUUUCUAAUAUUCCAGAUAAGGUGCAAAAUCAGCAAUGGCAUUUUUUAACAUCAUAAAUAUUUGUCCUAGUAAAAUGUCAUAUAUAUUGUUUACUUAUAAAUUACUGAUAUUGUUAAUCAUUAACUCAAGGAAAGGUUGAUUUUUUUCUUUAAUGAACACUUCUUGUGUAUCAGUCACAUGUUACAUGUAUCUAAUUUAUGAAGUUAUAUAAAGCAAUUCUAAAGAUAAA